rnacentral:rRNA from 1 species
UAAGCUAUCGCCUCGGAGGAUGGUCCCUGCGUCUGAUUAGCCAGUUGCGGGGUAACGGCCCACCAAAGCGACGAUCAGUAGCCGGUCUGAGAGGAUGAACGGCCACAAUGGAACUGAGACACGGUCCAUACUCCUACGGGAGGCAGCAGUGGGGAAUCUUCCGCAAUGGGCGCAAGCCUGACGGAGCAACGCCGCGUGAUUGAAGAAGGCCUUCGGGUCGUAAAGAUCUGUUGAAGGGGACGAACGUGCUUUACAUGAAUAACGUAGAGUAAUGACGGUACCUUUCGAGGAAGCCACGGCUAACUACGUGCC